rnacentral:rRNA from 1 species
GACAGAGGUGCCAAGCGUUAGGCGGAAUCACUGGGCUUAAAGCGUGUGUAGGCGGAGUGCUAAGUACCUUGUGAAAUCCCACGGCUUAACCGUGGAACUGCUGGGUAUACUGGUUCUCUUGGGCCACUUAGGGCUACUGGAACAAACGGUGGAGCGGUGAAAUGCGUAGAUAUCGUUUGGAACGCCAAUGGUGAAAACAAGUAAGCUGGGAGUGUGCCGGACGCUGAGACACGAAAGCCAGGGGAGCGAACGGGAUUAGACGUCCCUGUAGUCCGAUGACCAAGUCCUUCUGCUACGAUAAC